rnacentral:rRNA from 1 species
GACGAACGCUGGCGGCGUGCCUAACACAUGCAAGUCGAACGGAACUGUUUUGAAAGAUUUCUUCGGAAUGAAUUUGAUUUAGUUUAGUGGCGGACGGGUGAGUAACGCGUGAGUAACCUGCCUUCGGGGGGGGGAUAACAUUCUGAAAAGAAUGCUAAUACCGCAUGACAUAUCGGAAUCACAUGAUUUUGAUAUCAAAGAUUUUAUCGCUUGAAGAUGGACUCGCGUCCGAUUAGUUAGUUGGUGAGGUAACGGCUCACCAAGACCGCGAUCGGUAGCCGGACUGAGAGGUUGAACGGCCACAUUGGGACUGAGACACGGCCCAGACUCCUACGGGAGGCAGCAGUGGGGGAUAUUGCGCAAUGGGGGCAACCCUGACGCAGCAACGCCGCGUGAAGGAUGAAGGUUUUCGGAUUGUAAACUUCUUUUAUUAAGGACGAAAAAUGACGGUACUUAAUGAAUAAGCUCCGGCUAACUACGUGCCAGCAGCCGCGGUAAUACGUAGGGAGCAAGCGUUGUCCGGAUUUACUGGGUGUAAAGGGUGCGUAGGCGGCUUUGCAAGUCAGAUGUGAAAUCUAUGGGCUCAACCCAUAAACUGCAUUUGAAACUGUAGAGCUUGAGUGAAGUAGAGGCAGGCGGAAUUCCCCGUGUAGCGGUGAAAUGCGUAGAGAUGGGGAGGAACACCAGUGGCGAAGGCGGCCUGCUGGGCUUUAACUGACGCUGAGGCACGAAAGCGUGGGUAGCAAACAAGAUUAGAUACCCUGGUAGUCCACGCUGUAAACG